GAAAGAUAAUGCCUCGCCAACUGGCUAUGAGCAUUACUAUGAUCCUCAAAGUGGACAGGGGUACCUGGCCUACCGAUUGAAAACCGUACAGCGGAACACUGCAAGCAACUUCAGGAGAACCUCUGAGUCUGUUCAUCAGUGUGGCCCCAAAACUCUGAGGCAGACAGAAACAUCUGACCAGCUGUUUGGGGAUGAUUGCACAGAAGCAAUUUCCAUAAUGAAGCAUUCGUCAAACCCAGAAGUCAUCAAGGAGAAAAUGAAGGCAACAUUUCAACAUAGACAGAAACUGCUGCAUGAUCUGGAGCAGUCAUCAUUCAUCUUGGAUCACUUCCCAAGAUUCUUGGAUACACCAGGCUUAAUCGAGCAGGACUUCAUUAGGCUCU